CCUACGGGAUGCAGCAGUGGGGAAUAUUGGACAAUGGGCGCAAGCCUGAUCCAGCCAUACCGCGUGGGUGAAGAAGGCCUUCGGGUUGUAAAGCCCCUUUGUUGGGGAAGAAAUCCUGUCGAUUAAUACUCGGUGGGGAUGACGGUACCCAAAGAAUAAGCACCGGCUAACUUCGUGCCAGCAGCCGCGGUAAUACGAAGGGUGCAAGCGUUACUCGGAAUUACUGGGCGUAAAGCGUGCGUAGGUGGUGGUUUAAGUCUGCUGUGAAAGCCCUGGGCUCAACCUGGGAAUUGCAGUGGAUACUGGAUCACUAGAGUGUGGUAGAGGGAUGCGGAAUUUCUGGUGUAGCAGUGAAAUGCGUAGAGAUCAGAAGGAACAUCCGUGGCGAAGGCGGCAUCCUGGGCCAACACUGACACUGAGGCACGAAAGCGUGGGGAGCAAACAGGAUUAGAUACCCUAGUAGUC
rnacentral:rRNA from 1 species